UACGUAUGGAGCGAGCGUUGUCCGGAAUUAUUGGGCGUAAAGGGUGCGCAGGCGGCUUUACAAGUUGGAUGUGAAAUAUUGUGGCUCAACCACAAACGUGCAUCCAAAACUGCAAAGCUUGAGUUAAGGAGAGGUAAGUGGAAUUCCUGGUGUAGCGGUGGAAUGCGUAGAUAUCAGGAGGAAUACCGGUGGCGAAGGCGACUUACUGGACUUAAACUGACGCUCAGGCACGAAAGCGUGGGGAGCAAACAGGAUUAGAUACCCCUGUAGU
rnacentral:rRNA from 1 species